GACGAACGCUGGCGGCGUGCUUAACACAUGCAAGUCGAACGGAAAGGCCUUUUCGGAGGUACUCGAGUGGCGAACGGGUGAGUAACACGUGGGUGAUCUGCCCUGCACUCUGGGAUAAGCCUGGGAAACUGGGUCUAAUACCGGAUAGGACCGCACUUUAGUGUGUGUGGUGGAAAGUUUUUUCGGUGUAGGAUGAGCCCGCGGCCUAUCAGCUUGUUGGUGGGGUAAUGGCCUACCAAGGCGGCGACGGGUAGCCGGACUGAGAGGUUGGUCGGCCACAUUGGGACUGAGAUACGGCCCAGACUCCUACGGGAGGCAGCAGUGGGGAAUAUUGCACAAUGGGCGCAAGCCUGAUGCAGCGACGCCGCGUGGGGGAUGACGGCCUUCGGGUUGUAAACUCCUUUCGCCAGGGACGAAGCGUUUUGUGACGGUACCUGGAGAAGAAACACCGGCUAACUACGU
rnacentral:rRNA from 1 species